rnacentral:rRNA from 1 species
AUUGAACGCUGGCGGCAGGCCUAACACAUGCAAGUCGAGCGGAUGAAGGGAGCUUGCUCCUGGAUUCAGCGGCGGACGGGUGAGUAAUGCCUAGGAAUCUGCCUGGUAGUGCGGGAUAACGUCCGGAAACGGGCGCUAAUACCGCAUACGUCCUGAGGGAGAAAGUGGGGGAUCUUCGGACCUCACGCUAUCAGAUGAGCCUAGGUCGGAUUAGCUAGUUGGUGGGGUAAGGGCCUACCAAGGCGACGAUCCGUAACUGGUCUGAGAGGAUGAUCAGUCACACUGGAACUGGGACACGGUCCAGGGUCCUACGGGAGGGAGCAGUGGGGAAUAUUGGGCAAUGGGCGAAAGCCUGAUCCAGCCAUGCCGCGUGUGUGAAGAAGGUCUUCGGAUUGUAAAGCCCUUUAAGUUGGGAGGAAGGGCAGUAAGUUAAUACCUUGCUGUUUUGACGUUACCAACAGAAUAAGCACCGGCUAACUUCGUG